AGAUUGAACGCUGGCGGCGUGCCUAACACAUGCAAGUCGAGCGGUAACAGGUGUAGCAAUACAUGCUGACGAGCGGCGAACGGGUGAGUAAUGCUUCGGAAUCUACCUUAUGGUGGGGAAUAACUAGCCGAAAGGUUAGCUAAUACCGCAUACGUCCUACGGGAGAAAGCAGGGGAUCGCAAGACCUUGCGCCAAAAGAUGAGCCGAAGUCGGAUUAGCUAGUUGGUAGGUAACGGCCUACCAAGGCGACGAUCCGUAGCUGGUCUGAGAGGACGACCAGCCACACUGGAACUGAGACACGGUCCAGACUCCUACGGGAGGCAGCAGUGGGGAAUAUUAGACAAUGGGGGAAACCCUGAUCCAGCGACGCCGCGUGUGUGAAGAAGGCCUGCGGGUUGUAAAGCACUUUUAGUGGGAUGAAAUGUGCAGAGCUAAUACCUCUGUACUUUGACCUAACCCACAGAAAAAGCACCGGCUAACUCUGUGCUAGCAGCCGUA
rnacentral:rRNA from 1 species